GGAAGAGAUUUCUGGCAAAAUAUGUCAGGGUUAUGUUCAGUGAUCCAAGUGCUUUAAUAAGGCACUCUAAUGUGAAAAGAAUGUCAAAGGGAAGCUCGAAAGAAACAUUGAAGUGAACAGGUAAAUGUGUCCUCAAAGGCUGGUUACACAGACCUCGACUGAGCAUAGGGUAAGCAUAACCUCCGUCUCCCCUCAGCCUCCUUUCAGGACUGCCUGUCCUGUUUCCAGGAAUGGAGAGGCCACCUUGAUAACAGACACAGUUUCACCAGGAGUCCUACACUGUCAAAAUGUUGUGAGCAGCUGAGGACUGUGUGGAAGGAAAAGAGAAAAUUCAAAUGAUAUGGAGCACAGAAAGAAUAUUAAAAAGUUAAAAGAAAUCGUUCAAAGAUAAUGUGUGGUUGCCAAAGGCAAUGGCAGUAAUCAAGAUCUUAAAGUCCAAUAUGAUGAAUCAAACAGUAAAAAAAAAAAAGAAAGUAAUCAUACGGCCUAAGAAAUAACCAAAGGUAUGGAAGAGUUUAAGGGACUUCAGGUAAGGAGAAAAAAAGAAAAGAAGGCAAGAAAAGCUGAGGGGAAAAACCAAAGGAAAAGAGAAAUUAAGUACUCACAGAAUCACAGACUGACUGAGGUUGGAAAAGACCUCUGUACAUCACCUGGUCCAGCCCCCUGCUCAGGCAGGGCUACCCAGAGCUGGUAGCCCAGAGCCAUGUCCAGAUUGGUUCUGGGUAUCUCCAGGGUUGGAGUCUCUGCCACCGCCCUGGUUGUACUUGGUCACCCUCACAGUGACAAAGUGUCUCCUGAUGUCCAGAGGAACCCUCCUACGUGUCAGCGUGUGCCCCUGGCCUCUGGUCCUGUCCCGGGGCACCUCUGGAAUCACCCCUGGAAUCCUCCUCAUUUCCUCCCUGCAGGGAUUUGUGGGUGGAUUCCAUCCCCCUGAGGCUGCUCUGCUCCAGCUGAGCAGCCCCAGCUCCCUCCGGCCUCUCCUCGUAGCAGAGAUGCUCCAGGUCCUGCAGCACCUUGGUCGCCCCUCGCUGGACUCUCUGCAGCAUGGAGAUUUGGGAAUUCAACAGUCAGUGCGCAUUUAAGAUACCAUGUGGCAAAUGAGAUUUAGGUAGCAAGCCCUGAAUUUCAAAUCACAAUUAACUGUAUGCUGAAAGGAAAGUAUAUACUUAAAAUUAAGCCCACUUUUAAAUGCUUUCCUGAAUGAGACCAUACAUAAGAGGAGAGAAGAAAUAUUACAAUGGAUGGAAUGUGAAUAUCAUGGUGUAUCUACUAAGAAACCCAGUUUCACUUAGACAAAGAAGAGGUUGGAUCAAGUCUGAAAAGUAACGUUAAUGCUAACAUUUAUUAACUUUUGAGAUCUUGUUGGUUUAGUAUUAACUGUGUAUAUUUGCAGGGUCUGUUGCAGCUUUUGGCUUACUUGAUCUGUGCCCUGGAUGCAUGUAUGCCCUUAUAACAUAAAUAUUAACAACGUAUUAGCAAUAUUAGCAACAAGUGACUGGGGAAGUGACUUCUGUUUAACAGGACUUUUAACUUGAUAAAUUCUCCAGUGACUGGUCUUCUGCUAGGAGACUUCAUGACAUGUGGAGAUCACUGGCAGUAUAAACUCAUGUACAGGGGAUUGUGCAAAUCACAUGUUUAAUACCUCUAAAAAAGAACAAAUAAUAUAUAGUCAAAUAAAUGUACAACCUCAGUAUUGAGUAUAAUCUCAAUGUUAUGUGUGAUUGUGAAUGUGUUGAAUGUGAAUGAACAUAAAAAUGUAUAAAGAAAAACAUAAAUCAGUGGAGAAGAAAAUAGUUCAACUAAGAGCAAUGAGUUACAUAGAAAAAAGCGCUCUCUCUUAGUGGCUUCACAGUAUUAGUAAGCGACAGAUAGAGCAGAUGUUCUCUCUUUGUUUCUCUACAUUUGUAUGUUGUAGUUCUAAUUGAAACAGUGUUUGAGGAGAGUUUGAACACAUGCGCAUUUUGGAAAUAGAAAUCAAAUUCUGGCAUGUCAGAGUCUCAGUAAAAAAGAAGAAAUGUUUUAGGGGAACAUGUAUUGAUUGUCUUUAAAACAAACCAAACAAAUCCCCAAAAUACAUUUUUGGGCAGUAAUUCAUCUGGAAACUGGAUGAAAAUAUAAACCAAUAUUCACUGCCCUACUAAAACGCUGGUUGCAAGCAUGUAGCCUCAAUGGCAGCAGAAGAAUCUAGGGAAGCAUAAAAGAAUAUGGUGUUACCGUUGUCUUCAGAGAGUUACUCUUAUGACUGAGAGUAAUGGUUGCAGAAUGAGGUCCAAGAUACAAUGGAUGUAGCAAAAUGUCUGUAUAUUUCUGUCAGAAUCGGCCCA
ensembl:lncRNA